GUUGUUGGUUUCAUAUUCUAAAUGAUGGUCUUGCGCUCCAUUAAAUAUAAUGAUCUCACAUGUUUUUACAGGAGUUCGUAUUCGUAUGGGCCCUACCACUCCCAACAGGACCCCCACUCCCAGCAGGAUGCGCACCCCCUUCCAGGAUAUAAGCAACAACCAAACAUCAGGUAUUGAUCAGAACCCAGUCAGGACGCACCUCCCCUUCCAGGAUAUAAGCAACAACCAAACAUCAGACCCAAAGGAACUAAAAAGGCAGAGGGAUAGAGAGCGGUAUGCAAAAAAUAAAGAUGAGAUUAAUAAGAGAAGGCGUGAAACGUACAAAAGAAAAAAAAUACCACUGAGGAAAUAGAUGGCCUACAAAACGGAACACCGGCACAGCUAACUGUAUCACAAGUCACUAAUGAGACUAAGAAUCAGAGGGAAAGGGAGCGUUAUGCACAGAAUAGAGAGGAAAUAUUAAAGAGACAACGCCAAACCCGUGAG